AACGAACGCUGGCGGCAUGCCUAACACAUGCAAGUCGAACGAACCCUUCGGGGUGAGUGGCGCACGGGUGCGUAACACGUGGGAACCUGCCCUUAGGUUCGGAAUAACACAGAGAAAUUUGUGCUAAUACCGGAUAAUGUCUUCGGACCAAAGAUUUAUCGCCUUUGGAUGGGCCCGCGUAGGAUUAGCUAGUUGGUGAGGUAAAGGCUCACCAAGGCGACGAUCCUUAGCUGGUCUUAGAGGAUGAUCAGCCACACUGGGACUGAGACACGGCCCAGACUCCUACGGGAGGCAGCAGUGGGGAAUAUUGGACAAUGGGCGAAAGCCUGAUCCAGCAAUGCCGCGUGAGUGAUGAAGGCCUUAGGGUUGUAAAGCUCUUUUACUGGGGAUGAUAAUGACAGUACCCAGAGAAUAAGCCCCGGCUAACUCCGUGCCAGCAGCCGCCGUAACAC
rnacentral:rRNA from 1 species